rnacentral:rRNA from 1 species
UAAAGCGUGCGCAGGCGGUUAUGUAAGACAGAUGUGAAAUCCCCGGGCUCAACCUGGGAACUGCAUUUGUGACUGCAUGGCUAGAGUACGGUAGAGGGGGAUGGAAUUCCGCGUGUAGCAGUGAAAUGCGUAGAUAUGCGGAGGAACACCGAUGGCGAAGGCAAUCCCCUGGACCUGUACUGACGCUCAUGCACGAAAGCGUGGGGAGCAAACAGGAUUAGAUACCCUUG